UAGCGGGGCGUGUGGUAAUGGCUGGCCUCGUCUUUUGGUUCAGCAGAAAUGGCCCGUGGGCUGUUCUCAGGGGCUGCGAGCCUUGGCGGUCGGUAGUGGAAGGUGUGCUCCCUCAGUGAGCUGAAUCCUUCAUGAACCAAGCCUGGAGUUCGUAAUGAUCUAAUAGAUGCGAUGUUGAAGGCUUGAAGACUGCAACUAAGUGGAAAGAAGCUCUUUCUUGCCAACAAGUUCCAGAUGAGGUGGGAUGAAGCCUCAGAAAAAUGUGAAACUUGACAACUGAAAGUACAAGAUAGCUGUGCUGCCCUCAGGAGGCCGUUCACUGUGCAGUGAAUGAAUGACUUGAAAAAGAUGGAAUGAACUUCCUCCAUCAUCCUGUGACAGCAUUGACAAGAACUGCCACUUUCUCAGCCUCCUUCCCUGAGGCUGUCACUUCCAGGUAAUCUUUGUUGGAUGUGCAGUUGUUCUCCAGAGAACUUACGGCAGCUUUUAUAAGGCCAUACAGUGGGGAAAGACUGGAGCUUAUUCUGCUUUGGACUGCUGGAUUCGGAAGAUGAUGGGUGUCAUCUAAAUCUCUCAGCACCUGACUUGCUGUGCCUGCUCAAACUUUCUGAUUUUUGGAAGAGAAAGGGGGUUUCACAGCAACUGUGUAAUCUUUUGUGUCUAACUGCAGGCUGGGUUUUCCCUUAUGUUGUCCUUCUGUACAUUGCAUAAUGUGGUACUUAAUGGAUAAUAGCAGGUAUGCAUAUUGUUGCUUGUAAAUGGCCUUACCAAUGUCACUUGCCUGUACUGGAUGAUCUCUCUAGGGACUUGAGCUACCUCCUCUUAGCAGAUGUGUAUGGUAAGUGGACUGAUGCUGUUCUGUCUUAUGUGAGUAACUGCUGUCUGGGAAACUGUGUAAAUACUAGAAGUGUCUGUUAAAAGCUGAAGAUAUGACCGAGUUUAAAAUAAAUACUGUAUGUUUCCAGACCAUCAGUGAAGUUCCUUAAUGCAUCAAGCCCUGUACUACUGAGACUUGGUUAUGAGCACUCUGAUAUUCUACAGUUUUUGCAGCUUCAAUGUAAAUGCAGUUUUAUGAAGGCCAUGGUUAGAUUCAGUGUCAUGAAAACCAAUGCAGGACCUGAAGAAACCUGAGCCCUGUAGCUGGCACUCUAGUUUGAGUGUUUUCAACCUGCCUCAGUCAUCCAAUUACAACAGAGUAAUUUUUUUUCUGUGAUGCAGUAACUAGACCUGAGGAGGCCCAUUGGAUAAUGGAUGGGGGGGAAAAAGACCAGUCUAAAAGCUGAGCUAAUAUAGCUCUCCUGCAAUUACUGUGGCCUCUUUGCAGUGACUGAACAAAGUCCUUGAUAACAACUGUAAUAAGGUGAAAAGAUGUCUUGCUCUCUAAUAGAGAUUGUCAAACUGACACUUUGACAUUCUAACUUGAAAAGGAAAAGAUGUUUGCAACAGGAAUUCUUCAAAGCUUUUUGAACCAUAUGCUUUCAAGUUUCAUUUGUUGAAAGCAGUUUUUUUUUUAAAAUACCUUCUUUCACUUACUGUGCUGCUAAAUUGUCUCACAGCUGUUUCAUCUAUUUGUUAACCCUCUUUAUGCUCAGUCCAGCAUGUACUUGGGUGGGGGAUGUGCCUCAAGGUUUCUGGAGAAAAACAUCUUGUUCACCUGUAAUUGUCAUUGAUCUAAAGAGAUAGUUAUGUCUGUGUUCACUACUGCUUGUUCCUCCAGUCAGUCUAGGCUUCCAAGCUUUGUUAGUUCUUGGAACAGUCUUAAGUGAGCUAGCUUGGCUUACCUUAUGCAAAACAUCUGGAGACUUGAAUAGAGUUAUUAGGAGCGAGAACAGGGUCCGAUAUGAGCUACAUGACAUGCAAAACGCAGCAUCUUGUUCUCAUCUAUUGAAGUACGAACAGAGCUCAAGUGCUAAGUUCAUGCUGGCCAGACAUGUCACAGCAAAGGUUAGCAAUGGGGCUUGAUCUGCAGUUAAAUCGAGCUCUUGGUCUCUUUCUCUCUAUAUUGAAAGCUCUGGAAUAUUGAUUAGGGUCACUAAAUUCGGUAUAUGUGGCCAUACUUGAAGGAAGAGGUUGAGUGAGGAAGUGUGGGAACUGGGAGCUGAUUCUCUGCUGAUACAUCCUCCUCACAGAGCCUGUGGGCAACCUGGCUCACUGCACUGGCAGGGAAUUCGGCUGCAGUUCCCUGGCAGGUGACCAGGCCCUGCUUGGGGAUAUGGAAUCCAUCUCUCUUGUAAUGUGCUGUUAGAGCAGAUCUGCUGUCAGGUGUCAGUAUGCUUGAAUUUUGGAAGGUAUUCCUGGCUGGCAGAGCAGAGGCAAAAUGCUGUUCAGGCAGUACCCUGUGGCCAGCUGUGGAGCAGCGUGAUUUUUGCCACUGAUGUCUGAGCACUGUGGGCCUGUGUGAGUGCUCUGACACAGCAAUGCAUCCCCCUGUUAGCUGGUCUGAGUCAAAUAAUUAAGCUUUUCCAAGUGCUUUAGCCUCCACCAGACAGGGAAGUGUGUGUAUCUUUCUCCAAUGCCGUAAAUGCAAAAGUAUGCAUAAAGACUAAGAGACUUCUCUUGUUUAUUUUACUAUUUGAACAUGUCAAGACUCAUAAAAAGUUACAAUAUUUAAAUACAAGUCACAAGCACAUAGAUGUAAAAAUAUUUUUAAAUGGCAUUAAAUGAUAUCUUGCAUGUGCUACAAGAGGAAAUGGUGUGAGGAGAAACUGAAUGGAAAUAAUGUUCAGGGACCUGUGGAGAGGUAGUGGGCUGAGCUUUGGGGAUGGGGUUUGUAGCUUGUCUGGAUGCAUGCUAAAACAAGGGAAGUGUGUAAUACUAAAAGGCUUUGCUUUUGUGUUUUUACCUUUCAGCAGAUGACGCAAUGGAGUUGUUCUAUUUGAUAGGCAUGGUGUAUAUUCUUGUGCCACUUGCUAAUAAAACAGUAAAGGGGAAAUGUAAUGCUUGGUGAAAUACUGCUGUAAUUAAGCACUUGUCAAAGUACAUUGUCAAAGCAUGUUGUUAAAGUGAUUUUGAUGUGUUGGAGUAGGUGAGUUCUCAUGCUGUAACUUACCCCACAAAGGGAAAGCCCAUGUUCCAUUUCAAAAUAUUUGCACUAUCUAGUCUUGUGUAACAGAACAUUAACUUUUAUACAAAGUAAAUUAUCUUCAGUAUUAAAUUGUGGAUCCUCGGUACUAUGGUUGUAACUCUCUGGGCACAAAAGUAAGGAUUUCCCUUAUCAUCUGGGUGCUUCAGACAUCCCAUGGGGAGUCUGCACCAUUUCCUUUUCAAAGUCUAUGAAACAGCUUGCUGAGAAGAUUUAAGCUUGAUGCUCUUUCCCCCAUCUUUCCCUCUCCAGAUCAGCAUCUGGUUGAGUGUCACAAUAAAAAUGACUUUGACCAGCUGUUCUGCCCUUUCACCUUUCCCAAAGGAGCCAGACAACUGCUUUUUCAGAAGUGGCCCAGGUAUGCACAUGCUCAUGAGGCUCUGUUUAUCUGUGGGUGAGAGAGAAUUCAUUGUCUGUGCACCAGCAGCUGCUUUGCUUCAGCUGAGACCCACCUCUCCUAUGUUAAGUGCCCUUAAGAUUUUUACAGUUGAUUCAACAUCUAGGUAUGUUGCUGCUGCGAUACUGAAAGUGUGGGGAACAAAUACAGUAUAAGGAAGAUUUCUGCUGCUCUCUGAGAAAUCACACAUUUGUAAAACUGCUGUAUUGGUCACUGCACUAAGCAGUCUCCUCUGUGAACCUGAGACUACAUUAAAUUCAAAGGACUUAUGAAGCUGAGCUUGUGACAGAGGCCGAAGAGGAGACUCCAGGAGUCUGGGAUUCUGCAGGGAGGUGCAAAGAAAUGUGAAAAUGAGUGACAGGAGCCUCGGCAACGGCCCCCCUGCCUGAGGAAGAGAAUGGUCAAGGUGUGCUGCAUGACUAAAGACAGCGCUUGGAAGCAGUCCAGUGUGAUCAGAGUGAGAGCCUUGAACCUUAAUCUUGAUGUAGGAGCAUAAAACUGGGCAGACUGUCAUUAAAAGUAAUGUGUCCUAUGUGCUGUAGAAAUAAGGGGUUGGAGUACAUGUAUAUAUGUAAAAUGCCAUGGAUUUUAGCAGUCAACAAUGAAACAAUAGUUGUAACAAAACUGUAACUAUACCUACCUUGAUUCUCCCAUAGGACAGCAUUGUAUCUUUGCCUGCUUACAUGUGCAAUUGUAGGAUGUGGUCAUUUCAAAGUUACUAAAUAUGUAACCAUGUUUUGUACAUAAAUAUGCUUCGUUGUUUUUCUCUUGUGUACGGUGUAUAUGUCCUGUGGAUGCUUCUGUUUACAAACUGAAUUCAUUUGCCCUCAGUUCCAGGUGGUUUAUGACUUCAGUGCUUUAGAUACUGGCCCUACUGUUGCCAUGAGUGAGAUGAGGUUUCAUUUGCUUUGACUGUAAAGCAUUAUUUAGCUUUCCCCAUUUACCAGUCUUCCAUGCGUGCCUGCGAUGGCCAUAUCCUAGUCUCUUCUGCGUAAGUCCAUGCUGUACUCUUUUUCUCCUUGAAGGCAAGGAAGUCUCUUUCUGUAUCAAUGCAAUGUCUCUUUCCCAAAGGACAGGGGUUUUUCCAAUCCUGUAACAGAAAAGCUUUCUCAUGCUGUUUCUUUAUUGAUACAACAUAAUUGCAUUGCUUUUCGAUUUUAACUGCAACUCUGAUAUUAAAACAAUACUAUGUAGAAGUAUUUUGCUUCCAUUUUCCAUUUACUUAAAUAUACAAACUUAUAUCUACAUCAGACAUGCGGCCUGUGCCAUAGCUGGUGAGUGUUAUGUGGGGCAAGAUGCAAGCUAUUGCUGACACACGUGCUGUGAUUUGCAAGGAGGUUGAUGUUACCCCCACUAAAAAUCCAGAAGGUGGCCAAAGAGAAGGUGGAGGGAGCUCAUGGAGGGGAGUAGGCUUA